UACGUAGGUGACCAGCGUUGUCCGGAUUUACUGGGCGUAAAGGGCUCGUAGGUGGCCAACUAAGUCAGACGUGAAAUCCCUCAGCUUAACUGGGGAACUGCGUCUGAUACUGGAUGGCUUGAGUUUGGGAGAGGGAUGCGGAAUUCCAGGUGUAGCGGUGAAAUGCGUAGAUAUCUGGAGGAACACCGGUGGCGAAGGCGGCAUCCUGGACCAACACUGACACUGAUGAGCGAAAGCCAGGGGAGCAAACGGG
rnacentral:rRNA from 1 species